AUGCCUACCUGGCAAGGGAGACACUCAUCAAGAAGUGGUUUUCCCAGGUCAAGGCUCACCCAUUGCUCUUAGUGUGUAUUACGUCUUCUCUUUUCCCCCAGAGGCAAAUUUGUUUAUGUAACUGUGAUAGUGGGAAACUGCAUUCACUCUCUCCCC
rnacentral:snRNA from 1 species